GUGGAUUAGAUACCCUGGUAGUCCACGCCGUAAACGAUGAUAACUAGCUGUCGGAGCACUUGGUGCUUCGGUGGCGCAGCUAACGCAUUAAGUUAUCCGCCUGGGGAGUACGGUCGCAAGAUUAAAACUCAAAGGAAUUGACGGGGGCCUGCACAAGCGGUGGAGCAUGUGGUUUAAUUCGAAGCAACGCGCAGAACCUUACCAGCGUUUGACAUGCCCGGACGGUUUCCAGAGAUGGAUUCCUUCCCUUCGGGGACUGGGACACAGGUGCUGCACGGCCGUCGUCAACU
rnacentral:rRNA from 1 species